rnacentral:rRNA from 1 species
UACGGAAGGCAGCAGUGGGGAAUAUUGCACAAUGGGCGAAAGCCUGAUGCAGCUAUGCCGCGUGUAUGAAGAAGGCCUUAGGGUUGUAAAGUACUUUCAUCGGGGAGGAAAAAACAAAACUAAUAAUUUUAUUUCUUGACGUUACCCGAAAAAGAAGCACCGGCUAACUCCGUGCCAGCAGCCGCGGUAAUACGGAGGGUGCUAGCGUUAAUCAGAAUUACUGGGCGUAAAGAGCACGUAGGUGGUUUUUUUAAGUCAGAUGUGAAAUCCCUGGGCUUAAACCUGGAAACUGCAUUUUGAAACUGAAAAUACUAGAGUAUCGUAGAGGGAGGUAGAAUUCUAGGUGUAGCGGUGAAAUGCGUAGAUAUCUGGAGGAAUACCUGUGGCGAAAGCGGCCUCCUAAACGAAUACUGACACUGAGGUGCGAAAAGCUGGGGAGCAAAACAGGGAUUAGAUACC